rnacentral:rRNA from 1 species
AGUAACGCGUGGGUAACCUGCCCUUAAGUCUGGGAUACCAUUUGGAAACAGAUGCUAAUACCGGAUAAAAGCUACUUUCGCAUGAAAGAAGUUUAAAAGGCGGCGUAAGCUGUCGCUAAAGGAUGGACCUGCGAUGCAUUAGCUAGUUGGUAAGGUAACGGCUUACCAAGGCGAUGAUGCAUAGCCGAGUUGAGAGACUGACCGGCCACAUUGGGACUGAGACACGGCCCAAACUCCUACGGGAGGCAGCAGCA